UACAGAGGCCCCAAGCGUUGUUCGGAAUUACUGGGCGUAAAGAGUGUUAAGGCUGUUAGGAAAGUCGGCUUUUAAAGACAGAAGCUCAACUUUUGAAAUCUUGUUGAUACUACCUAACUAGAGCAUUGAGCGGGAAAAAAGAAUUUACGGUGUAGCAGUGAAAUGCGUAGAUAUCGUAAAGAACACCAAAAGCGAAAGCAUUUUUCUAGCCACUCGCUGACGCUGAUAUACUAAAGCUAGGGGAGCAAACGGG
rnacentral:rRNA from 1 species